AGUAAUGCUUGGGAAUCUAGCUUAUGGGAGGGGAUAACUACGGGAAACUGUAGCUAAUACCGCGUAGUAUCGAGAGAUGAAAGUGUGGGACCUUCGGGCCACAUGCCAUAGGAUGAGCCCAAGUGGGAUUAGGUAGUUGGUGAGGUAAAGGCUCACCAAGCCGACGAUCUCUAGCUGGUCUGAGAGGAUGACCAGCCACACUGGGACUGAGACACGGCCCAG
rnacentral:rRNA from 1 species